rnacentral:rRNA from 1 species
CAUCUGAUUAGUGGCGAACGGGUGAGUAACACGUGAGUAACCUGCCCUCCACUUCGGGAUAACCUCGGGAAAUCGUGGCUAAUACCGGAUAUGAGCACUCAUCGCAUGGUGAGUGCUGGAAAGAUUUAUCGGUGGGGGAUGGACUCGCGGCCUAUCAGUUUGUUGGUGAGGUGAUGGCUCACCAAGACGAUGACGGGUAGCCGGCCUGAGAGGGCGACCGGCCACACUGGGACUGAGACACGGCCCAGACUCCUACGGGAGGCAGCAGUGGGGAAUAUUGCACAAUGGGCGAAAGCCUGAUGCAGCGACGCCGCGUGGGGGAUGACGGCCUUCGGGUUGUAAACCCCUUUCAGUAGGGAAGAAGCGAGAGUGACGGUACCUGCAGAAGAAGCGCCGGCUAACUACGUGCCAGCAGCCGCGGUAAUACGUAGGGCGCAAGCGUUGUCCGGAAUUAUUGGGCGUAAAGAGCUUGUAGGUGGCUUGUCGCGUCUGCCGUGAAAACCCGAGGCUCAACCUCGGGCGUGCGGUGGGUACGGGCAGGCUAGAGUGUGGUAGGGGAGACUGGAACUCCUGGUGUAGCGGUGAAAUGCGCAGAUAUCAGGAAGAACACCGAUGGCGAAGGCAGGUCUCUGGGCCAUUACUGACACUGAGAAGCGAAAGCAUGGGUAGCGAACAGGAUUAGAUACCCUGGUAGUCCAUGCCGUAAACGUUGGGCACUAGGUGUGGGGGA